rnacentral:rRNA from 1 species
GACGAACGCUGGCGGCGUGCUUAACACAUGCAAGUCGAACGGAAAGGCCCUGCUUUUGUGGGGUGCUCGAGUGGCGAACGGGUGAGUAACACGUGAGUAACCUGCCCUUGACUUUGGGAUAACUUCAGGAAACUGGGGCUAAUACCGGUUAGGAGCUCCUGCUGCAUGGUGGGGGUUGGAAAGUUUCGGCGGUUGGGGAUGGACUCGCGGCUUAUCAGCUUGUUGGUGGAGUAGUGGCUUACCAAGGCUUUGACGGGUAGCCGGCCUGAGAGGGUGACCGGCCACAUUGGGACUGAGAUACGGCCCAGACUCCUACGGGAGGCAGCAGUGGGGAAUAUUGCACAAUGGGCGGAAGCCUGAUGCAGCAACGCCGCGUGCGGGAUGACGGCCUUCGGGUUGUAAACCGCUUUCGCCUGUGACGAAGCGUGAGUGACGGUAAUGGGUAAAGAAGCACCGGCUAACUACGUG